CCUACGGGAGGCAGCAGUGGGGCAUAUUGGGCAAUGGGCGCAAGCCUGACCCAGCAACGCCGCGUGAAGGAAGAAGGCUUUCGGGUUGUAAACUUCUUUUGACAGGGAAGAGCAGAAGACGGUACCUGUCGAAUAAGCCACGGCUAACUACGUGCCAGCAGCCGCGGUAAUACGUAGGUGGCAGGCGUUGUCCGGAUUUACUGGGUGUAAAGGGCGUGUAGCCGGGCUGACAAGUCAGAUGUGAAAUACGGGGGCUCAACCCCCGAACUGCAUUUGAAACUGUUGGUCUUGAGUAUCGGAGAGGCAGGCGGAAUUCCUAGUGUAGCGGUGAAAUGCGUAGAUAUUAGGAGGAACACCAGUGGCGAAGGCGGCCUGCUGGACGACAACUGACGGUGAGGCGCGAAAGCGUGGGGAGCAAACAGGAUUAGAUACCCCUGUAGUC
rnacentral:rRNA from 1 species